CUCUGGAUUGGCCGUUGUUUUUCUCCUUGCUUAGAUGACGUGACUUACUGAGUGGCAAUCGGAUUGUUGGAAGCAAAAUUUAAUGGUUGAUUUAAAUUAGGAAUUGGGGAUAGAAGUGUUAACCGUUGGAAUUUGUAGUUGUUGAUGAUAAUUUGUGUCACUCUGUAGAGGAUUCUUAAACAUAUCUAGCUAAGUGAUAUCUGGAUUGCGGAGAUACCCUCGUUCUGCUUUUUGCAUGACUAUGAAGUUUGGUCAGUUGAUGCUAAUAUAGCCUUUGGAUUUUGCCUUUUUAAAAUGUUAUGGCCUAUGGGUUUUUGGCAAUGAAUUAGCUGCUGAGUCUUCUUGAUGCUUCUGCUUGCAUGUCGGAUGGAGUAAGGACAGUCCAACCUCCACUUCAUAUGGUUUACUACUAUAUACCAUGUUAGAGGCUACUUUUUUAAGAAUUAGCUAGGGGUCCAUUCACAUCAUCCCACGGUUCUCUUUGCAAAAAGAAAUGGGUAAACACGCAAAGAUGAGAACAGAACACUUUACCUGUGAAUCAUCCUGCCUCCAGUGAAGCUGCCAAAAAGAUAAACUGCCAAUCCAUGCUAUUUAAAGAUGGAUGCUGGGCUAGUUGUUGGUAGCCCUCAGCUUUACGAAGACUGCAAUCCUUUUGAUGUAUCAAGGUGAAGAAUGAUGGCCUUUAGCAUUGUUGAACAGGUGUUGCUUUCAUAAGAAACCAGUACUGCUGCUUUCUUGCACCUAGGUCAUUUUGAGUGGAUUUGAUGUCUGUGGUGUCAUGCUUCAGCAGAUCUUACUGGUCAUAGAAACCCAAUCAAUCUUCUUGCAAGACAAUGAUGAUCCUGCUCUUCUGUGCCUCCUAAACAAAUGUCCUGUGACAUGUGAUUUGCUGGUCGGAAUUCGAAUCUAUGUCGAUUGGAUGCAUUGAUAUCAAUUACCCACAAGACUCGAGAAUAUGAAACUCACUCUGCUUCCUUUAUUGAAGCAAUA